rnacentral:tRNA from 1 species
GGGGGUAUAGCUCAGUCGGGAGAGCACCUGCUUUGCACGCAGGGGGUCAGCGGUUCGAGCCCGCUUACCUCCACCA